rnacentral:rRNA from 1 species
UACGUAGGGUGCAAGCGUUGUCCGGAAUUAUUGGGCGUAAAGAGCUCGUAGGCGGUUUGUCGCGUCUGCUGUGAAAACUCAGGGCUUAACUCUGAGCUUGCAGUGGGUACGGGCAGGCUAGAGUUCGGUAGGGGAGACUGGAAUUCCUGGUGUAGCGGUGAAAUGCGCAGAUAUCAGGAGGAACACCGGUGGCGAAGGCGGGUCUCUGGGCCGAUACUGACGCUGAGGAGCGAAAGCGUGGGGAGCGAACAGG